rnacentral:rRNA from 1 species
UACAGAGGGGGCGAGCGUUGUUCGGAAUUACUGGGCGUAAAGGGCGCGUAGGCGGCCUGCUAAGUCGAACGUGAAAUCCCCGGGCUCAACCCGGGAACUGCGUCCGAUACUGGUGGGCUUGAAUCCGGGAGAGGGAUGUGGAAUUCCAGGUGUAGCGGUGAAAUGCGUAGAUAUCUGGAGGAACACCGGUGGCGAAGGCGGCAUCCUGGACCGGUAUUGACGCUGAGGCGCGAAAGCUAGGGGAGCAAACAGG